rnacentral:rRNA from 1 species
AGACCCGAAACCCGGUGAUCUAGCCAUGGGCAGGUUGAAGGUUGGGUAACACUAACUGGAGGACCGAACCGACUAAUGUUGAAAAAUUAGCGGAUGACCUGUGGCUGGGGGUGAAAGGCCAAUCAAACCGGGAGAUAGCUGGUUCUCCCCGAAAGCUAUUUAGGUAGCGCCUCGUGAAUUCAUCUCCGGGGGUAGAGCACUGUUUCGGCUAGGGGGCCAUCCCGGCUUACCAACCCGAUGCAAACUGCGAAUACCGGAGAAUGUUAUCACGGGAGACACACGGCGGGUGCUAACGUCCGUCGUGAAGAGGGAAACAACCCAGACCGCCAGCUAAGGUCCCAAAGUCAUGGUUAAGUGGGAAACGAUGUGGGAAGGCCCAGACAGCCAGGAUGUUGGCUUAGAAGCAGCCAUCAUUUAAAGAAAGCGUAAUAGCUCACUGGUCGAGUCGGCCUGCGCGGAAGAUGUAACGGGGCUAAACCAUGCACCGAAGCUGCGGCAGCGAACGUAUCACCCAAGACAACUUUACGGAGUUGACGAUUGACGGAGCGAAGCGACGUCAAAGCGUUCAUUAAAGUCGAGUUGGCUUAGGGAUACGUUCGUUGGGUAGGGGAGCGUUCUGUAAGCCUGUGAAGGUGUGUCGUGAGGCAUGCUGGAGGUAUCAGAAGUGCGAAUGCUGACAUAAGUAACGAUAAAGCGGGUGAAAAGCCCGCUCGCCGGAAGACCAAGGGUUCCUGUCCAACGUUAAUCGGGGCAGGGUGAGUCGACCCCUAAGGCGAGGCCGAAAGGCGUAGUCGAUGGGAAACGGGUUAAUAUUCCCGUACUUGGUGUUACUGCGAAGGGGGGACGGAGAAGGCUAUGUUGGCCGGGCGACGGUUGUCCCGGUUUAAGCGUGUAGGUGUGUGUUCCAGGUAAAUCCGGUUCACUUUAACACUGAGGCGUGAUGACGAGGCACUACGGUGCUGAAGCAACAAAUGCCCUGCUUCCAGGAAAAGCCUCUAAGCAUCAGGUAACAUCAAAUCGUACCCCAAACCGACACAGGUGGUCAGGUAGAGAAUACCAAGGCGCUUGAGAGAACUCGGGUGAAGGAACUAGGCAAAAUGGUGCCGUAACUUCGGGAGAAGGCACGCUGACACGUAGGUGAAGUGAUUUACUCACGGAGCUGAAGUCAGUCGAAGAUACCAGCUGGCUGCAACUGUUUAUUAAAAACACAGCACUGUGCAAACACGAAAGUGGACGUAUACGGUGUGACGCCUGCCCGGUGCCGGAAGGUUAAUUGAUGGGGUCAGCGCAAGCGAAGCUCCUGAUCGAAGCCCCGGUAAACGGCGGCCGUAACUAUAACGGUCCUAAGGUAGCGAAAUUCCUUGUCGGGUAAGUUCCGACCUGCACGAAUGGCGUAAUGAUGGCCAGGCUGUCUCCACCCGAGACUCAGUGAAAUUGAACUCGCUGUGAAGAUGCAGUGUACCCGCGGCAAGACGGAAAGACCCCGUGAACCUUUACUAUAGCUUGACACUGAACAUUGAGCCUUGAUGUGUAGGAUAGGUGGGAGGCUUUGAAGUGUGGACGCCAGUCUGCAUGGAGCCGACCUUGAAAUACCACCCUUUAAUGUUUGAUGUUCUAACGUGGACCCGUUACCCGGGUUGCGGACAGUGUCUGGUGGGUAGUUUGACUGGGGCGGUCUCCUCCUAAAGAGUAACGGAGGAGCACGAAGGUUGGCUAAUCCUGGUCGGACAUCAGGAGGUUAGUGCAAUGGCAUAAGCCAGCUUGACUGCGAGCGUGACGGCGCGAGCAGGUGCGAAAGCAGGUCAUAGUGAUCCGGUGGUUCUGAAUGGAAGGGCCAUCGCUCAACGGAUAAAAGGUACUCCGGGGAUAACAGGCUGAUACCGCCCAAGAGUUCAUAUCGACGGCGGUGUUUGGCACCUCGAUGUCGGCUCAUCACAUCCUGGGGCUGAAGUAGGUCCCAAGGGUAUGGCUGUUCGCCAUUUAAAGUGGUACGCGAGCUGGGUUUAGAACGUCGUGAGACAGUUCGGUCCCUAUCUGCCGUGGGCGCUGGAGAACUGAGGGGGGCUGCUCCUAGUACGAGAGGACCGGAGUGGACGCAUCACUGGUGUUCGGGUUGUCAUGCCAAUGGCACUGCCCGGUAGCUAAAUGCGGAAGAGAUAAGUGCUGAAAGCAUCUAAGCACGAAACUUGCCCCGAG